rnacentral:pre_miRNA from 1 species
CAUGUACCAGUGGGGUCCCUUGGCCUGGCCUGUACCCUCUCACAAUCUGGGACCCCUCGGGGGAUAUCGGAGAGCCGGUUUUGGCCCAAUCCCUGCAGGCCAGGCCGAGGGACCCCACUGGUACAUG